rnacentral:rRNA from 1 species
AAGCAGGGGAUCGCAAGACCUUGCGCUUUUGGAGCGGCCGAUGUCUGAUUAGCUAGUUGGUGAGGUAAAGGCUUACCAAGGCGUCGAUCAGUAGCUGGUCUGAGAGGACGACCAGCCACACUGGGACUGAGACACGGCCCAGACUCCUACGGGAGGCAGCAGUGGGGAAUUUUGGACAAUGGGGGAAACCCUGAUCCAGCCAUGCCGCGUGAGUGAAGAAGGCCUUCGGUUGUAAAGCUCUUUCAGCCGGAACGAAACGGUCACGGCUAAUACCUGUGAUCACU